ACAAGAUGUCUCAUGAAGGAAAUGCCCUACGUCAGAGCAGUAUCUGGCCACUCACAGUGGCGCUUUUUGGUGGUUACGAAAUGAUCUCUGAGGCCUAGGCAAAAAGGGUGGCAAGACCUUUUACCUUGGCAGGUCAACUUCUGUCAGCGAUGUUACUGCCAAGUGCAGCCAAUGUUGCUGUUCCAUUGCUGGAUUUCCCUGUUGACAAAAUCCAGGAUAAUGCGGAUCUUGAAAGCUUUUGUUUGAUUGUGUAAAAACAACAACUCUUACAAGCAGAUCACCAGGCGAUAGGACAAGAUCAGCAAAUGUUGUCAUCUUUCUAGCCUACUCCACCUCCCCAUUGGCAAGUACUGUAUCUCUCACUGGACAAAGACAUGGAAACUAAAUGUAUGAUGCUGUAAGGCAAAAUGAAAUAAAGAACUAUAUGGUGAAACUA